UGAUGUCAGUGGACAGCCCAGAGCAGAAGAGGCACCAACCGGCAAAUUGUCACAAAGGAGGAAGAGAACAGCAAUGAUCAAUACCUCUCAUUGAUUUCCAAAUAUUUUUUCAAAACAACUGCAGAAUGAGAUUAUCUUUUGGUUUCUAAUUUGAAUGUUUCAAUCAUCUUAAGAUGUUAAAAAGUUUCAUGCCUGACGUACUUGGGAUAUACGAAUGCCAUAAAGAUUAAACAUACGAGAGAGACAGAAGAGUUUAAAUUGCUACAAUUUAAUACAGAAAAAUUGCUUUCAGUUGUUGACAGGUGCUUGCACUGCUAAUACAUGAUCUUUUCUGGGAAAUUAAGCCUGACCAGUGGAAAAGUAUUGCUUCUUAAUGGUGUAUUUUUCCACUGGAAGAUUGCCUUGAACAUCCUUGUGCUGGAAUAACAGAGAAUCUCAGCAGGCCCAGCAGGAUCUGUGGAAAGAGAAUCAGAGAUUGGAACCCUGAAGUAUUUAACGCACACAUUGAGCUUUUUGAGAAGACUGGAAGCUCUUUGGAGAAGAGAAACAAAUGAGAAAAAUAAGAUUUGGAAAGUUAGCUACUGGUGUAGUGGCCUUUAAAUGAAACUUCAUCUUACACGGUAAGUCCUAGGUAAGUUCAGCUGUAAAGGGACCCCAAUUUCCAACAAAAGGACAGCACCCAACAUGGGUACAUAUCCAGUGGACCUUUUUUAGUCACUAACAGUCCCCAUUAACAACUAUUCAUCCUCCCAGCCAAAUUAUUAUCAACUCCUUUGUCUAUCCAACUGUUCUUCUCUCUCUUCGGGCUCUAUCCUAUCAUUUACUCCCUACUACAUCUCCCUCCCUAAUUUCUGCAUAUGAGCCAAUGUUUUUCCAGCUACCAUCAGUUCUGAGGAAGUCUCAUCAGAAAGAAAAAUGUUAACUGAUUUUUUUUUUCUUCACAGAUGCUGCCAGACCUGCUGAACUUUUCCAGAAACUUCUGUAUUUGUUCAAUGAACCUUCAUUGCACUUUCUCUUUGACAAUAAAAUAUUUCCUGAGUUAAAGAGAACAAAAUAGCACACAGUACUAUUACCAAGUUCCUAUACAAUUGAAGUAGAAGAGUCAUACUGCACUUGAAACAUUAACUCUGUUUCUCUUUCCAGAGAUGCUGUUGAGUUUCUCAGCAUUCUCAGUGUUUGUUUCAGACUUUACUACUCCUGUA